UCCAGACUCCUACGGGAGGCAGCAGUGAGGAAUAUUGGUCAAUGGGCGGGAGCCUGAACCAGCCAAGUCGCGUGAGGGACGACGGUCCUAUGGAUUGUAAACCUCUUUUGUCGGGGAACAAAGGCGCCCACGGGUGGGCGGAUGAGUGUACCCGAAGAAAAAGCAUCGGCUAACUCCGUGCCAGCAGCCGCGGUAAUACGGAGGAUGCGAGCGUUAUCCGGAUUUAUUGGGUUUAAAGGGUGCGCAGGCGGCGAGUUAAGUCAGCGGUAAAAUUUCGGGGCUCAACCCCGACAAGCCGUUGAAACUGGCUUGCUAGAGUGGGCGAGAAGUAUGCGGAAUGCGUGGUGUAGCGGUGAAAUGCAUAGAUAUCACGCAGAACUCCGAUUGCGAAGGCAGCAUACCGGCGCCCAACUGACGCUCAGGCACGAAAGCGUGGGUAUCGAACAGGAUUAGAUACCCUAGUAG
rnacentral:rRNA from 1 species